rnacentral:rRNA from 1 species
AGGACGAACGCUGGCGGCGUGCUUAACACAUGCAAGUCGAACGGUGAACCCCUUCGGGGGGGGUCAGUGGCGAACGGGUGAGUAACACGUGAGCAACCUGCCCCUGACUCUGGGAUAACCCCGGGAAACCGGAGCUAAUACCGGAUAUGACACCUUCGGGCAUCCGAUGGGUGUGGAAAGAUUUAUCGGUUGGGGAUGGGCUCGCGGCCUAUCAGCUUGUUGGUGGGGUAAUGGCCUACCAAGGCGACGACGGGUAG